rnacentral:rRNA from 1 species
AGAUAUUUUACACAAAAUAAUUCGCCAGAGGACUACUAGCAAUAGCUUAAAACUCAAAGGACUUGGCGGUGCUUUAUAUCCCUCUAGAGGAGCCUGUUCUAUAAUCGAUAAACCCCGAUAAACCUCACCACCUUUCGCUAAUUCAGUCUAUAUACCGCCAUCUUCAGCAAACGG